GCGGAUGUGGCGGAAUUGGCAGACGCGCUAGACUUAGGAUCUAGUCUUUUACGAGGUGGGAGUUCAACUCUCCCCAUCCGCA
rnacentral:tRNA from 1 species